CAAAAUGAACCUAAAAGAGCAAGGACCCGGCCCUAUGGGGCCACCACCUUCCCCCUCGUGCUCCUGCGCCCCCAGCCCCUGCUUUUGGGGUCCCGUGGGGGGGUCUUGUGGCAGCUGCUGAGCCAAUUGAGGUGUUUUUUUUGGGGGGGACGCUGCUGGGCAGCUCCUUUUGGGGUUUGGGUCGUGAUUUGAGCCUGGGGGGUGUUUUGGGGAGGACCCUGAGCAGCAGCUCCCCUGUGGGGUCGUCCACUGGGGGCAGCAGCCUCGGGAGACCCCAAACCCUGGGGUGGGUUUGAGGACGGCCCCCUUGUGCCUUUGGGGUUUAGCAUCUUUUGGGGUUUUUGGGGUUUAGCUUCUUCUGGGGUUUAGCGUCUUUUAGGGUUUUGGGGUUUUUCUUUGGGGUUUUGCUUCUUUUGGGGCUUUGCUUCUUUCUUUUGGGGUUUGGGGCUUUGCUUCUUUCUUGGGGCUUUUCUUCUUUUUGGGGGGCUUUUCUUCUUUUUUGGGGUUUUAUCUUUUGGGAGUUUUCCUUUUUGGGGCUUUUUCUUUCUUCCUUUCCGCGUGCCCUUGGCCGCUCACCCCCGCGGGGCCGCAUCCCCCUGCUCCCCGGGCGCUUUAUCCUCGAGCAGCCCCUGUUCCCCCCCCCCCCAAUUGCACUCUCCCCCAGGGACAUGGCUUUGGGGAAUUUUUCCCUGGUGUGGGGGCUCCCUGCGACCCCAGAAAGCCCCUGAUCUGUCCGUCCAUCUGUCUGUCUCGGUGCCACGCGGGGCUGAGUCAGGAGCCUCGGAACCCGUCGGGAACCUCAUUCCUUCGGCCAGGAGCCUCGUUACGUGUCGGGGCCUCAUUAUCUGAGUCAGGACGUGGUUCCCUGCCUCUUGGGGUCCCGUUCCCCGUCGGGGUCCCGUUCCCCAUUGGGGUCCCGUUCCCAUCAGGGUCCCAUUCCCUGUUCCCAUCGGGGUCCUGUUCCCUGUCGGGGUCCUGUUCCUAUCGGGGUCCCAUUCCCUGUUCCUAUUGGGGUCCCAUUCCUGUUGGGGUCCCAUUCCCUGUUCCUAUCAGGGUCCUGUUCCCCAUUGGGGUUCCGUUCCUAUUGGGGUCCUGUUCCCUGUUCCUAUCGGGGUCCUGUUCCUAUUUUGGGGUCCCGCUCCCCGCCGUGCCCCCCAGCAGCAGCCCCGCUGCCGACCUCCAGCCCCGGGCGCUGUGGCCGGGCCCUCCCGCGGCAGGACCCGGGGAGGUGCUGCUGGGGGAGGGAGAACGGGGAAGAAACGGGGAGGAGGAGCACGGGGAAGGGGCACAGACGGAAGGAUUUGGGGAAAAAGCACGGGGAAGGAGCCGAGCAGGGAGAAGGAGCACACGGGGAAGGAGCAGGGAGAAGGAACAAGGAGAAGGAGCCAGGAGGAGCACACAGGGAGAAGGAGCACACAAGAAGGAGCCGAGGAAGAAGCAGGGAA
rnacentral:lncRNA from 1 species